UAAUACGGAGGGUGCAAGCGUUAAUCGGAAUUACUGGGCGUAAAGGGUGCGUAGGCGGUUUAAUAAGUUAAGUGUGAAAGACCCGGGCUUAACCUGGGGGAGUCAUUUAAGACUGUUAGACUUGAGUAUGGGAGAGGGUAGUGGAAUUUCCGGUGUAGCGGUGAAAUGCGUAGAGAUCGGAAGGAACAUCAGUGGCGAAGGCGGCUACCUGGCCUAAUACUGACGCUGAGGCACGAAAGCAUGGGGAGCAAACAGG
rnacentral:rRNA from 1 species